rnacentral:rRNA from 1 species
CACGUAGGGUGCGAGCGUUGUCCGGAAUUAUUGGGCGUAAAGAGCUCGUAGGCGGUGUGUCGCGUCGGCCGUGAAAACCUGCAGCUUAACUGUGGGCUUGCGGUCUGUACGGGCAUCACUGGAGUUCGGCAGGGGAGACUGGAAUUCCUGGUGUAGCGGUGAAAUGCGCAGAUAUCAGGAGGAACACCGGCGGCGAAGGCAGCUCGCUGGGACGGUACUGACGCUGAGGCGCGAAAGCGUGGGGAGCGAACAGG